AUUGAACGCUGGCGGAAUGCUUUACACAUGCAAGUCGAACGGCAGCACGGGUGCUUGCACCUGGUGGCGAGUGGCGAACGGGUGAGUAAUACAUCGGAACGUACCCAGUCGUGGGGGAUAACGUAGCGAAAGUUACGCUAAUACCGCAUACGUCCUGAGGGAGAAAGCGGGGGACCGUAAGGCCUCGCGCGAUUGGAGCGGCCGAUGGCGGAUUAGCUAGUUGGUGGGGUAAAGGCCUAUCAAGGCGACGAUCCGUAGCGGGUCUGAGAGGACGGCCCGCCACACUGGAACUGAGACACGGUCCGGACUCCUACGGGAGGCAGCAGUGGGGAAUUUUGGACAAUGGGCGAAAGCCUGAUCCAGCCAUUCCGCGUGAGUGAAGAAGGCCUUCGGGUUGUAAAGCUCUUUCGGCAGGGAAGAAACGGCUUGGGAUAAUACCCCGGGCUAAUGACGGUACCUGAAGAAGAAGCACCGGCUAACUACGUGCCAGCAGCCGCCGUAA
rnacentral:rRNA from 1 species